rnacentral:rRNA from 1 species
AGUGAACGCUGGCGGUAGGCCUAACACAUGCAAGUCGAACGGCAGCACAGUAAGAGCUUGCUCUUACGGGUGGCGAGUGGCGGACGGGUGAGGAAUACAUCGGAAUCUACUUUUUCGUGGGGGAUAACGUAGGGAAACUUACGCUAAUACCGCAUACGACCUACGGGUGAAAGCAGGGGAUCUUCGGACCUUGCGCGAUUGAAUGAGCCGAUGUCGGAUUAGCUAGUUGGCGGGGUAAAGGCCCACCAAGGCGACGAUCCGUAGCUGGUCUGAGAGGAUGAUCAGCCACACUGGAACUGAGACACGGUCCAGACUCCUACGGGAGGCAGCAGUGGGGAAUAUUGGACAAUGGGCGCAAGCCUGAUCCAACCAUACUGCGUGGGUGAAGAAGGCCUUCGGGUUGUAAAGCCCUUUUGUUGGGAAAGAAAAGCAGCAGGUUAAUACCCCGCUGUUCUGACGGUACCCAAAGAAUAAGCACCGGCUAACUUCGUG